UCGGUUCCCGCCUAUUUUAAUUUGAUUUGAUGGUCGAAGCUCCAUCCCUGGGCAUGGAAUCCAACAGGGUUUUGCUGGAUUUUCAAAUUCCAAUCCAAGAUGCCGUUUCUAGACUUCAAUUUACCCCCAUUCGAAAAAUCUCCUAAUUUCUAUUCUUGGUUUGUACGAAGUUGAUAAGUCUACUCUAAGACGUGAAGCUUCAUCUGGAGCUGCGCUGCUAGAUUGUUUCUUCCAGGAUGAAUCAUUAACUUUCAAAGCUGCUUCUAAUGGCUGCAUAAGUAGGUUUAAAACUUGCAUAUCAACAUUUUUAAUGUUAAAUUCCACUGGCUUAAUAUCACAAUAUUUAAUUUGUUCAGAUUAUGCUAUAUUCAGAUGUUGUAUUUACUUGUCAAUGCUACAUUUGAAAGCGCCCAUUGCUUUUCUUUUUAAUGAUUUUGUAGUUUUUUUACUUUAA